rnacentral:rRNA from 1 species
GUGCCAGCAGCCGCGGUAAUACGUAUGGGGCAAGCGUUAUCCGGAAUUAUUGGGCGUAAAGAGUGCGUAGGUGGUUACCUAAGCGCAAGGUUUAAUCUUGAGGCUCAACCUCAUUCUGCCUUGCGAACUGGGCUACUUGAGUGCAGGAGGGGAAAGCGGAAUUCCCAGUGUAGCGGUGAAAUGCGUAGAUAUUGGGAAGAACACCGGUGGCGAAGGCGGCUUUCUGGACUGUAACUGACACUGAGGCACGAAAGCGUGGGGAGCAAACAGGAUUAGAUACCCUGGUAGUCCACGCCGUAAACGAUGAGCACUAGUUGUUGGGUACGAAUGUAUUCAGUGACGCAGUUAACGCAAUAAGUGCUCCGCCUGGGGAGUACGGUGGCAACACUAAAACUCAAAGGAAUUGACGGGGACCCGCACAAGCAGCGGAGCAUGUGGUUUAAUUCGAAGCAACGUGAAAAACCUUACCAGGGCUUGACAUCCCUCUGACCGGAUCCUAACCGAUCCUUUCUUCGGACAGAGGUGACAGGUGGUGCAUGGUUGUCGUCAGCUCGUGUCGUGAGAUGUUGGGUUAAGUCCCGCAACGAGCGCAACCCUUGUCGUCAGUUACUAACAUUAAGUUGAGGACUCUGACGAGACUGCCGAGGUCAACUCGGAGGAAGGUGGGGAUGACGUCAAAUCAUCAUGCCCCUUAUGUUCUGGGCUACACACGUGCUACAAUGGUCGGUACAAUGAGAAGCAAUACAGUGAUGUGGAGCAAAUCACCAAAACCGAUCCCAGUUCGGAUUGCAGGCUGCAACUCGCCUGCAUGAAGUCGGAGUUGCUAGUAAUCGCGAAUCAGCAUGUCGCGGUGAAUGCGUUCCCGGGUCUUGUACACACCGCCCGU